rnacentral:rRNA from 1 species
UGGGGAAUAUUGCACAAUGGGCGCAAGCCUGAUGCAGCAACGCCGCGUGAGUGAAGAAGGCCUUCGGGUCGUAAAGCUCUGUCCUCUGGGACGAAUGAAAUGACGGUACCAGAGGAGGAAGCCCCGGCUAACUACGUGCCAGCAGCCGCGGUAAUACGUAGGGGGCAAGCGUUAUCCGGAAUCACUGGGCGUAAAGGGUGCGUAGGCGGCCUGUCAAGUCAGAGGUGAAAGGCAAUGGCUUAACCAUUGUAAGCCUUUGAAACUGAUGGGCUUGAGUGCAGGAGAGGUAAGUGGAAUUCCUAGUGUAGCGGUGAAAUGCGUAGAUAUUAGGAGGAACACCAGUGGCGAAGGCGACUUACUGGACUGUAACUGACGCUGAGGCACGAAAGCGUGGGGAGCGAACA